ACCAAUUGAAUAGGUUAUAACCAAAAUAAAUAGGUUAAAAUAACCAAUUAUUUUUUGGUUAAUCUCUAACAUUUGGGUACAACUAAUAUAAAUAGGUUAAUUUAACCAAUUGACCAAAGUAAAUAAGUUAAAAUAACCAAUUAUAUUUUGGUUAAUCUUGAACAAUACAACUAAUAUAAAAACAAGUGAACGAAACUCUAAAGAUCGAUAACAUUUUUAUAUUUAUCAAUGGAGUUUCACUUGUUUUGUAUUUUGUAAAAUACUCAGUAGUUCAAAAAAUUAUUGUAUGACAAUUUUAAUAGGUUGUUAUCUUGGGUGUUUAGCCAAUACUGAUAACAAUAGCCAUGCAGGUUGUUUUAAAUAUUUUUAUAAUACUAAUCAUAAUACAUAAACUUUGUACGUGGCAAAUCAUGUCAACCAUUAAUGAGUUAAAUUAUAAACCAAUAAUAAUUGCUCAAAAGACAAAACAGUUAUAGGCAAUUAUAGAUCUAUAGGCAAUAUUAGUUCAGUACGUCAUAAUCUUUGUUAAUAAGAUUAGAAAAUGCAUCUUAUUUUUACAUAUUUAUACUGAUUAUAUAGUAUACUAUAUACAGCACUGUACAGACCAAACAUUGAAUUGUUUAUCACAGUCAUUUCAACAUAUAGUAUGCAUUCAAGCAGGAACCACACCACCAUAAAUCAUCUUUUAAUCUCCACGACUCCACGUA